rnacentral:rRNA from 1 species
UACGUAGGUGGCGAGCGUUGUCCGGAUUUACUGGGCGUAAAGAGCGCGCAGGCGGUCGUUCAAGUCGCGUGUGAAAGCCCCCGGCUCAACUGGGGAGGGUCACGCGAUACUGAUCGACUCGAAGGCAGGAGAGGGAAGUGGAAUUCCCGGUGUAGUGGUGAAAUGCGUAGAGAUGUGGAGGAACACCAGUGGCGAAGGCGGCUUUCUGGUCUGUAACUGACGCUGAGGCGCGAAAGCGUGGGGAGCGAACAGG